rnacentral:misc_RNA from 1 species
GGUUUUCUCUCUGCAGUUCGACACUAGAACGAUUUUAUCCGCUGUCUAGCUAGUUGAAUAAAAAAAAUGGCAUCUUUCUUAGCAACUUGGCUUUACCAAGAUAGAGGACUGAGGGAUACAGUUUGUGCAGAUAGCUUUGUUACUGGGAAGCCAGGCUACAGUCAUCUGCAGACAGCAUUUGUAGGUUCAUUUUCAACUGGAAUUUUGCAAGUUCAGUUUGGCUCUAAAGCAUUUCUGAAGGCUCCAUUACUUCCUUGUAUAAAGUGUGAGAAGAAGGAUGAAUACAUCGAACAUGUGUCUGUUGAACGCCCUCCUUACCAUAGUUAUAUGGACUCCACAUCUGGGCAACUUGAGCCAGCAUCUGGUGCUCGUGCUAGCAUUCCAGGACAGGAGUACUGGCCAGAAGGCACUGCUGAUCGAGUUAGGGCUGCCAGGGCUCCUGAACCAACAGGCACGUCAACAGGAUCUCCAUCUUAUGGUGAAAGGCCUGGAAGUAGGAGGAAAAAGUACAGAACAUCAGCCACUGCUCCUGAAUCUAAUGAAGUGACCAUAGAAGCUCCCAAGGCACCUGAUACUCUCGACGAGACAAUGGAAGAACCUAAAGAUAUCUCAUCUGAUUAUGUGGUUUAUCAGAUGGAACCUGAGGAAGAACAAGAAACUGGAUAUGAAUUAGACAAGAAGCUGGGACGCCCUCAUCCCUUUAUUGAUCCAAAAGUCAAGAAGCCAAUUGAGGGGACGCUUACAAGUGAAGAAUUAUGGUGGAACUGGAGAAAGCCAGAGGAUGAGCAAUGGUCAAGAUGGC